GAUGAACGCUAGCUACAGGCUUAACACAUGCAAGUCGAGGGGCAGCGGUAUCGAAAGCUUGCUUUCGGUAGCCGGCGACCGGCGCACGGGUGAGUAACGCGUAUCGAACCUGCCUCAUACUCGGGAAUAGCCUUGCGAAAGUAAGAUUAAUGCCCGGUGUUUUCAGAGUCCCGCAUGAGGCUUUGAACAAAGAUUUAUCGGUAUGAGAUGGCGAUGCGUCCCAUUAGCUUGUUGGCGGGGUAACGGCCCACCAAGGCAUCGAUGGGUAGGGGUUCUGAGAGGAAGGUCCCCCACAAUGGAACUGAGACACGGUCCAAACUCCUACGGGAGGCAGCAGUGAGGAAUAUUGGUCAAUGGGCGGAAGCCUGAACCAGCCAAGUAGCGUGCAGGAAGACGGCCCUCCGGGUUGUAAACUGCUUUUAGUUGGGAAUAAAACGGGGCUCGUGAGCCCCCUUGCAUGUACCAUCAGAAAAAGGACCGGCUAAUUCCGUG
rnacentral:rRNA from 1 species